GGCGAACGGGUGCGUAACGCGUAUGCAACUUACCUUUUACUAGAGAAUAGCCAAGAGAAAUUUUGAUUAAUGCUCUAUGUUCUUAAAAAUUCGCAUGAAUUUUUAAGCAAAGCUCCGGCGGUAAAAGAUGGGCAUGCGUCCUAUUAGCUUGUAGGUGAGGUAACGGCUCACCUAAGCUCUGAUAGGUAGGGGUCCUGAGAGGGAGAUCCCCCACACUGGUACUGAGACACGGACCAGACUUCUACGGAAGGCAGCAGUAAGGAAUAUUGGACAAUGGAGGCAACUCUGAUCCAGCCAUGCCGCGUGCAGGAAGACGGCCUUAUGGGUUGUAAACUGCUUUUAUACAGGAAGAAACCUUUCCACGUGUGGAAAGCUGACGGUACUGUAAGAAUAAGGAUCGGCUAACUCCGUGCCAGCAGCCGCGGUAAUACGGAGGAUCCAAGCGUUAUCCGGAAUUAUUGGGUUUAAAGGGUCCGCAGGCUGUCUGUUAAGUCAGAGGUGAAAGCCUACCGCUCAACGGUAGAAUUGCCUUUGAUACUGGCAGACUUGAGUUAUUGUGAAGUAGUUAGAAUGUGUAGUGUAGCGGUGAAAUGCAUAGAUAUUACACAGAAUACCGAUUGCGAAAGCAGAUUACUAACAAUAUACUGACGCUGAGGGACGAAAGCGUGGGUAGCGAACAGGAUUAGAUACCCUGGUAGUCCACGCCGUAAACGAUGGUCACUAGCUGUUUGAUGUACAUUGGUACGUUGAGUGGCUAAGCGAAAGUGAUAAGUGACCC
rnacentral:rRNA from 1 species